CCCUUAGAUGUCCGGGGCCGCACGCGCGCUACACUGAAGGAAUCAGCGUGGCUUUCUCCCUGACCCGAAAGGGUUGGGAAACCCGUUGAAUCUCCUUCGUGAUAGGGAUUGGGGCUUGAAAUUGUUCCCCAUGAACGAGGAAUUCCCAGUAAGCGCGAGUCAUCAGCUAAUGUUGAUUAUGUCCCUGCCCUUUGUACACACCGCCCGUCGCUACUACUGAUUGGGUGUUCAAGUGAGAUGCUUAGACCCUUGUUGCAUGGUUCAUUAUUGUGCUCCGAAAGGAAAAAGUUUCAAGCUUGAGUGUCUAGAGGAAGUAAAAGUCGUAACA
rnacentral:rRNA from 1 species